rnacentral:rRNA from 1 species
GAUGAACGCUGGCGGCGUGCCUAAUACAUGCAAGUCGAGCGGUAAGGCUUUCACUCUGUAUUUAAUGAGUUGAAUAUAGUGUGAAAGUACACGAGCGGCGGACGGCUGAGUAACGCGUAGGAACGUACCCCAAAGUGAGGGAUAAGCACCGGAAACGGUGUCUAAUACCGCAUGUGAUCUUCGGAUUAAAGCUUUAUGCGCUUUGGGAGCGGCCUGCGUAAGAUUAGUUUGUUGGUGAGGUAAUGGCUCACCAAGACUACGAUCUUUAGCUGGUCUGAGAGGAUGAUCAGCCAGACUGGGACUGAGACACGGCCCAGACUCCUACGGGAGGCAGCAGUAGGGAAUUUUCCACAAUGGACGAAAGUCUGAUGGAGCAACGCCGCGUGCAGGAUGAAGGCCUCGGUUGUAAACUGCUUUAUCUGUGACGAUUAUGACGGUAGCAGAUGAAUAAGGAAUCGGCUAACUCCGUGCCAGCAGCCGCGGUAAUC